AGUGAACGCUGGCGGUAGGCCUAACACAUGCAAGUCGAACGGCAGCACAGUAAGAGCUUGCUCUUACGGGUGGCGAGUGGCGGACGGGUGAGGAAUACAUCGGAAUCUACUUUUUCGUGGGGGAUAACGUAGGGAAACUUACGCUAUACCGCAUACGACCUACGGGUGAAAGCAGGGGAUCUUCGGACCUUGCGCGAUUGAAUGAGCCGAUGUCGGAUUAGCUAGUUGGCGGGGUAAAGGCCCACCAAGGCGACGAUCCGCAGCUGGUCUGAGAGGAUGAUCAGCCACACUGGAACUGAGACACGGUCCAGACUCCUACGGGAGGCAGCAGUGGGGAAUAUUGGACAAUGGGCGCAAGCCUGAUCCAGCCAUACCGCGUGGGUGAAGAAGGCCUUCGGGUUGUAAAGCCCUUUUGUUGGGAAAGAAAAGCAGCAGGUUAAUACCCCGCUGUUCUGACGGUACCCAAAGAAUAAGCACCGGCUAACUUCGUG
rnacentral:rRNA from 1 species